rnacentral:rRNA from 1 species
UACGAAGGGGGGCUAGCGUUGUUCGGAAUUACUGGGCGUAAAGCGCGCGCAGGCGGUCUUCCAAGUCAGUGGUGAAAGCCUGGAGCUCAACUCCAGAACUGCCAUUGAAACUGUUGGACUUGAGUACGAGAGAGGUGAGUGGAAUUCCCAGUGUAGAGGUGAAAUUCGUAGAUAUUCGCAAGAACACCAGUGGCGAAGGCGGCUCACUGGCCCGGUACUGACGCUGAGGUGCGAAAGCGUGGGGAGCGAACAGG